rnacentral:tRNA from 2 species
CCGGCGGUAGCUCAGUGGUAGAGCAUGCGACUGUAGAUCGCAUUGUCGGUGGUUCGAUUCCGCCCCGCGGGA